AGCGAACGCUGGCGGCAGGCCUAACACAUGCAAGUCGAACGAACCUUUCGGGGUUAGUGGCGGACGGGUGAGUAACACGUGGGAACGUGCCUUUAGGUUCGGAAUAACUCAGGGAAACUUGUGCUAAUACCAAAUGUGCCCUUCGGGGGAAAGAUUUAUCGCCUUUAGAGCGGCCCGCGUCUGAUUAGCUAGUUGGUUGAGGUAAUGGCUCACCAAGGCGACGAUCAGUAGCUGGUCUGAGAGGAUGAUCAGCCACAUUGGGACUGAGACACGGCCCAAACUCCUACGGGAGGCAGCAGUGGGGAAUCUUGCGCAAUGGGCGAAAGCCUGACGCAGCCAUGCCGCGUGAAUGAUGAAGGUCUUAGGAUUGUAAAAUUCUUUCACCGGGGACGAUAAUGACGGUACCCGGAGAAGAAGCCCCGGCUAACUUCGUG
rnacentral:rRNA from 1 species